rnacentral:snRNA from 1 species
AGCUUUGUGCAGUGACAGUAUCGUAGCCAAUGAGGUUUAUCCGAGGUGCGAUUAUUGCUAAUUGAAAACUUUUCCCAGUACCCCGCCAUGACAACUUGAAAUAUAGUCAGCAUUGGCAAUUUUUGACAGUCUCUACGGAGA